CAGUAGCCGCGGGAACACGUAGGUGGCAAGCGUUGUCCGGAAUUAUUGGGCGUAAAGGGCUCGCAGGCGGUUUCUUAAGUCUGAUGUGAAAGCCCCCGGCUCAACCGGGGAGGGUCAUUGGAAACUGGGAAACUUGAGUGCAGAAGAGGAGAGUGGAAUUCCACGUGUAGCGGUGAAAUGCGUAGAGAUGUGGAGGAACACCAGUGGCGAAGGCGACUCUCUGGUCUGUAACUGACGCUGAGGAGCGAAAGCGUAGGGAGCGAACAGGAUUAGAUACCCCCGUAGUCCCUGUCUCUUAUAC
rnacentral:rRNA from 1 species